GCGCGAAACCUUUACAAUGCACGCAAGUGUGAUAAGGGGAUCCCCAGUGCUCAUGUACUGCAUGGGCUUUUGCCAAGUGUAAAUAGCUUGGCGAAUAAGUGGUGGGUAAGACUGGUGCCAGCCGCCGCGGUAACACCAGCGCCACGAGUGGCAACCGCGAUUAUUGGGCCUAAAGCGUCCGUAGCCGGUCCUGUAAAUCUUUUGUGAAAUUGUGCGGCUCAACCGAACAACGUGCAAGAGAGACUGCAGGACUCGAGACCGGGAGGAGUCAGAAGUAUUCCAGGGGGAGCGGUAAAAUGUUAUAAUCCCUGGAGGACUACCUGUGGCGAAGGCGUCUGACCAGAACGGAUCUGACGGUGAGGGACGAAAGCUAGGGGAGCGAACCGGAUUAGAUACCCGAGUAGUCCUAGCCGUAAACGCUGUGAGCUAGGUGUUGCGCCAGCGACCUGUUGGCGCAGUGUCGAAACGAAGGUGUUAAGCUCACCGCCUGGGAAGUACGGUCGCAAGACUGAAACUUUAAGGAAUUGG
rnacentral:rRNA from 1 species